rnacentral:rRNA from 1 species
CGAUCUCAAAUCAGGUGGGACUACCCGCUGAACUUAAGCAUAUCAAUAAGCGGAGGAAAAGAAACUAACAAGGAUUCCCCUAGUAACUGCGAGUGAAGCGGGAAAAGCUCAAAUUUGAAAUCUGGCGGUCUUUGGCCGUCCGAGUUGUAGUCUGGAGAAGCGCUUUCCGCGCCGGACCAUGUACAAGUCCUCUGGAACGGGGCGUCGUAGAGGGUGAGAAUCCCGUCUUUGACAUGGACUACCGGUGCUUUGUGAUG